GGGGCCGUAGCUCAGUGGGAGGGUGCGUGCCUUGCAUGCAGGAGAGCCCCGGUUCAAUCCUUGGCUCCUCCA